rnacentral:rRNA from 1 species
AAUCGAACUCGGAGAUAGCUGGUUCUCCUCGAAAUAGCUUUAGGGCUAGCCUUGAAUAAUGUCUAGUGGAGGUAAAGCACUGACUUGACGCGGGUCCCCAAAAGGAUACCAACUCAUAUCAAACUAAGAAUGCCAUAUAGAUAAAUUCAGGAGUCAGACUAUGGGAGAUAAGUUUCAUGGUCAAAAGGGAAAGAGCCCAGACCGACAGCUAAGGUCCCCAAGUGUGUGUUAAGUGGAAAAGGAUGUGAGAUUUCAUAGACAACUAGGAUGUUGGCUUAGAAGCAGCCACUCAUUUAAAGAGUGCGUAACAGCUCACUAGUCGAGAGGUCUUGCGCCGAAAAUGUCCGGGGCUAAAACACACCACCGAAGCUACGGAAUUACCUAUGGUAAUUGGUAGAGGAGCAUUCUGUAAGGACGAAGUUUAAGCGAAAGCGAAGAUGGACGAAACAGAAGAGAGAAUGCCGGAAUGAGUAGCGAGAUAUAUGUGAGAAUCAUAUAGGUCGAAUGUCUAAGGUUUCCUGGGUAAAGCUGAUCUGCUCAGGGUAAGUCGGGACCUAAGGUGAGGGCGAGAGCCGUAAUCGAUGGACAACAGGUAGAAAUUCCUGUACUGCAUAUAUUCAGAACUGUGGGGACACAGGAGGAUAGGGAAUCCUGGUGAUGGAAUACCGGGCUAAGCACAAAGCCGUGGCUGUAGGCAAAUCCGCAGCAUAAGGUGAAGUGUGAUAGGGAGUGAAGAUUAGUAACGAAGUUUCUGAAUCCACACUGUCGAGAAAAGCCGCUAUAGUGAUAUAUGUACCCGUACCGCAAACCGACACAGGUAGACGAGGAGAAAAUCCACAGACCGACGGGAGAAGUGUUGUUAAGGAACUCGGCAAAAUGACCCCGUAACUUAGGGAUAAGGGGAGCCUACGAGAGUAGGUCACAGAAAAGAGGCUCAAGCAACUGUUUAGCAAAAACACAGGUCUCUGCGAAACCGUAAGGUGAAGUAUAGGGGCUGACACCUGCCCGGUGCUGGAAGGUCAAAAGGAGAGGUUAGCGCAAGCGAAGCUUUGAAUUCAAGCCCCAGUAAACGGCGGCCGUAACUAUAACGGUCCUAAGGUAGCGAAAUUCCUUGUCAGGUAAGUUCUGACCCGCACGAAAGGUGUAAUGAUUUGAGCACUGUCUCGACAACACGCCCGGUGAAAUUGAAGAACCAGUGAAGAUACUGGUUACCCGCAACAGGACGGAAAGACCCCAUGGAGCUUUACUGCAGCUUAAUAUUGGGAUUCGGUAUUGUAUGUACAGGAUAGGAGGGAGACUAAGAACUUUGCACGCCAGUGUAGGGGGAGUCGAUGUUGGGAUACCUCUCUUAUAAUACUGAAUUUCUAACCUACCGCCAUAAUCUGGUGGAGGGACAUUGUUAGGCGGGCAGUUUGACUGGGGCGGUCGCCUCCGAAAGAGUAACGGAGGCGCUCAAAGGUCUUCUCAGAAUGAUUGGAAACCAUUCAAAGAGUGUAAAGGCAGAAGAAGGCUUGACUGCGAGAGCGACGGUUCGAGCAGGUACGAAAGUAGGACUUAGUGAUCCGGUGGUAACAUGUGGGAGUGCCAUCGCUUAACGGAUAAAAGCUACCCUGGGGAUAACAGGCUUAUCUCCCCCAAGAGUUCACAUCGACGGGGAGGUUUGGCACCUCGAUGUCGGCUCAUCGCAUCCUGGGGCUGUAGUAGGUCCCAAGGGUUGGGCUGUUCGCCCAUUAAAGCGGUACGCGAGCUGGGUUCAGAACGUCGUGAGACAGUUCGGUCCCUAUCCGUCGUGGGCGUAGGAAAUUUGAGAGGAGCUGUCCUUAGUACGAGAGGACCGGGAUGGACGAACCUCUGGUGUAUCUGUUGGUAACCAAUGCCACGGCAGAGUAGCCAAGUUUGGAAGGGAUAAACGCUGAAGGCAUCUAAGCGUGAAGCCCCCCUCAAGACUAGAUUUCCCAUCCUUCGGGAGUAAGAACCCUUACAGACGAUAAGGUUGAUAGGCUGGAGAUGUAAGCACAGUAAUGUGUUGAGUUGACCAGUACUAAUAGUUCGAGGGCUUGU